rnacentral:rRNA from 1 species
AUUGAACGCUGGCGGCAUGCCUUACGCAUGCAAGUCGAACGGCAGCACGGGGCAACCUGGUGGCGAGUGGCGAACGGGUGAGUAAUGCAUCGGAACGUACCUUUCAGUGGGGGAUAACGUAGCGAAAGUUACGCUAAUACCGCAUAUUCUGUGAGCAGGAAAGCAGGGGAACGCAAGACCUUGCGCUGAUUGAGCGGCCGAUGUCAGAUUAGCUAGUUGGUGAGGUAAAGGCUCACCAAGGCGACGAUCUGUAGCGGGUCUGAGAGGAUGAUCCGCCACACUGGAACUGAGACACGGUCCAGACUCCGACGGGAGGCAGCAGUGGGGAAUUUUGGACAAGGGGGGCAACCCUGAUCCAGCCAUGCCGCGUGAGUGAAGAAGGCCUUCGGGUUGUAAAGCUCUUUCGGCCGGGAAGAAAUCGCACGGGCUAAUACCCUGUGUGGAUGACGGUACCGGAAUAAGAAGCACCGGCUAACUACGUGCCAGCCGCCGCAGUAACAC